GGUCUUUUUAUUGGGGGGGGGGGGGGUUAUUGGAGAGGGAUGCUUUGAGAAUGGAAUAGGUUUCCAUAGCCAACAGUGUUAACUCAGAAGAAAACCAUGAACAUGAUGAAGGUCCCUGACUGUCAAUAAAGCUAUCCAUAGAUUACCACAGUCUGCAAUGUGUCUCAUAGUCUGGACAGCUUGAUAAAUCACAUAAUAAUUUAUGAAAAUCCUUAUCCCCAUCAUUCAGGUAUACACAUUUCCUGACAGGAUCAUUGAGAAUUUAAAUAGGUCAACCAUCCCCCCCCCCCCCCAUCUAUUAAAACAACCAUCAUAUUAUUGGAAAUCAACCAAUAUCAUAAAUCUAUAAAUACUGCUGUAUUUAUACCUGAAGUCAGUCAAUUCUCUCAACAGGUGCUUGGUGACUGACAGAUGUCAGAACCGUCUCUAGCAUUAGGAACAUUAUCUCAUCAUUAUGCAGCACAGAACAUUCAUCCCAUUAAAAUCCAUGUUCUAACAGUUUGUCAAUAUCCUAGAUCCCAGGAAUCCAUAGACUACACAAACUGAUGUAAACCUCACUGUGGGAGACUUAAAGUAACAUGCUUUCUAUAAUCUCUGCAGGAUUUCCCUUCAUUGUGUCAAAAACUGUUUUAGAAACAAGGAAUUGAAACUUUCAUAAAUACUAGUGGUUGUUUUUAUCAAUGAUACAAGGAUAAUUUUAGCAUUACCUUCUUUCCAGAAUGAGACAUUCCAAAGCUUAUAAUACUACACAUAUAGAAUCAUCCAGACAUAAAUGUUACCAUUAGGUCCUCACACAACAGACACCACUAGUAAAUUCUCACAUUAGCCACACGAUGUGGUGCCAUGAAACCACACCUUAGUUCCUCACACCAUACAAUAAGUACAUUUUCUUUAUAGUAGACCACCCCCUUCUCUAUACUUGUGGCACCUCCGAAGCAUUCCCCUGGGAGUCCAAAGGAGAAAAACAAUAUUCCAAAGAAUAGCACCAUUGACUUGUUGGCCUCUCUUUAAGGGGAAAUCCUGCCUUAGAUUGUUGAAGCAGUGGGUUAAAUUAUCUAACUCAGAAAAGCAAACAUCUUUUCAUUAGGGCCUAGUUCUGUGUACAUAAGAGGUUCCCUAACUAAACAAGGCAAGUGUUUAUCACGAAAACCUAACAUUCAAAUACUCAUGUGUGACUCUCAAGAAACUUUGUAAAAAACCUCUUGGCACUUAAAUUUUUCUUUAAUUUACACACUGGAUCAAUACUCUUGAGAUACUUUACACUAACAAGUGAUUUCUUUAAAAAUCGGUCACAAUUUC
rnacentral:sRNA from 1 species